GUGAAGCCUAUCUCAUUCGUACAUUUUGUUUUGUUUUAUAAAUAUCUACCUUUUGGUGUCUCCUUUUCAUCUUCUUCUCUUAUACCAACACAAUUCUCCCCCUUUUCCUGAUUAUCUCUUUAACCACCAUCACCACCAUCAUCUUUGACAUAAACAACAUCUCUACAUUGUUGAUAAAUACUAAUAUAAGAAAAAAUCUUGGUGUCCGAGUGUCUUGGAGCCAUUAAAAUGCCUGGUUUGGAUGAAUAUGGGUUAAAAUGCUUAUACGAUCUAUUGUACAAAGGUUUUCAUCUUACUGGUCCAAGUAGAGCUGAUGACGUUAUUACCCGAUUAAAUAAUUUGGAUAUUCCAUUGGCCAAUCAGGGAAAAAAUGGUUCCAUUGAUGUAGAAACUAACGAUGACAAUGGUGGUCAUCUUGUUGGAAAGAAUUCAUCUCGAAAUGAUGCUCAAAGAAAACAUCAACACCAAUCUAAUGUUCAUAAUGAUGGACGGAAUGAUAUUCCCAAUGAUGCUCAUAACAACGUAAAUAGUGAUAACUACUCUCCAAAGCCGCCUUCAUCUACCGAUUCAACGGAUUCUUCAUGGUCAAACCGUUUACGGAUUCGUAAGCGAAAAAUUUUUACUUCCUCGUCAGCUGAUGAAUCAGAUCCGAGCCCAACUCCAAUCACAGUGAAACCCAAUCCAACAAAAACUCCAAAUCCAUCUAAAACCACCACAACUGCAACUCCAACCACACAAACCUCUUCAACAUCCAUCAAAUUAACUGAAUCACAAGCAACUUUCGCAACGCCCAUCAGCGCAUCAAGACGAAGCUCUAAACUUAUGUCUCCAUCAAAUGAUGACAAUGAUGAGCCCAAUGCAAUUUCUCAAGAAGACCGAGAUAUUCAGAGAAUCACUUCUGUGAUAAAAAGCUUCCUCCCACAUCCUGCAUGCUUCCUAGUUGAGGAUGGUAAUUUAGAGUGCUUUGUAUGUGGUGAAAUCUUCCGUUAUCGUGAUAAUUGGCGAAGACAUUUACUCGAACAACACUUUCACCUUACCUUCUUGUGUCCUUCAUGUGGGCAGAAAUUCAAGAGAAGAGGAAAAUGCUCGGAACAUAUGUUAAAGUGUCGUUAGAAUAAUGAAUAGUUAUAGACAAAUAGCCUUACAGAAAUAACUAAUUUCUUAUUCUCAUCAUCUUAUUCACCAUCAUCAAUAUAACAUCAUUACCAUUCUAUCAUCUCCACCACCACCCUUUUCCUAUCCUCUUGUUUCUCUCUCUUUCUCUCUCUGUCUCUCUCUCAUUUGCUUGAUAAUUUAAACCCUUGUGUUUAGUCAAUUAUAACCUAAGUCAAUUCAUCGUCAAAAUCAAUUAAAUCAACAUCACCGCUACCUACCAAAACAACAACAAAAACUUCUCCAAUCCAUUCACCGGAAUCGAGGGGAAAUAUUGUGAAUUCUCGUCAUCAUAGUCAAUAUCAUUUUCACCACCAGCAUUUGCUUAACCAAAGCAAGCUCAUCACCUUUAUCAAUUAAAUCAUCAUUUUCGAUUUCGUAACAAUAUAACAGUUAAUUUAACAACUAAUUACCCUUUUGAUCAAUUAAAUAUUAAAGUUAAUAUUGAAAACUUCAACUGUCAUAAUGCAGUGAAAGUGACCAACAUUUAAAAAAGUCGAACCUCGUUCAGUUAUAAUGAGCGGGAUGACGAUUCUUAACAUGUGAUGGAUCAUCGAGCCAUCGUCAGGUAACUUCACUCACCUCAUCAAACUCUAUUCUCUUACAUGAGUUGAUUGUCCAAGAUAUUCAAAUAGACCUUCAUCAGGUCCAAGAUCAAGAAAGGCUUCGAACUGGAUUCUCAGCCGAGCAAUUAACAUGAUUGCAGCAAGAAUUCAAAAUGAUAACAAAUAUUUAAAUGAUAAACAUCGUAAAGCAUUGGCGCGAGAUCUUAAACUAAAUGAAUCUCAGAUUAAUAUUUGGAUCCAAAAUAAACAAGCCAAGAGAUCAACCGGCUCACAUAAUCCAUUGGCUCUUCACCUAAUAGCCCAGAGGCCUUAUAAUCAUUCCACCAUGGAAAAGGAAGGAAGGAGAAGAAGACAAAGAUGAUGACAAUUAAUAUAUUGUUGAUCGAAUUGGAGAUUGUCGAAAAUUUCUUCUCUUCGAAGGAGAAAAAUUCUUCAUAUUUGUAACCAUAGAUGAACCCAAUUAAUUUAUUUACAUGUUUUUAAGAAAAGAACAGUAAAAACCGAGAGACAGAAGGAGAAUAGAUAUAAAGAUGAUCGGGAAGUGUAUUGGAAAGGAUAAUUUUCACUUGGAAUUGUAAUUAAAAGUAACAAUUAGAAAAGAAAGAGAAGCAAAUAAAGAGAAACAAGUAACAUGCUUUUUUCCUUCUUCCAUAUCACCAGACCGAAAGGGCGUGGAUUUGGAUACGUCAUAGUCUUUAAAUGGAAUUGGUAACCAAGAGUAAUGAGAUUUAAUUCCCAAUUUUAAUUUACUUUUUUUCUUUUCGCAAUUAAUGUGCCUUCUUUUUCUUUCUUGUCAAUAUUUUAAAUCAAUUCUCAUAUUAACGAGAACAAUUAAUUCUUACCUUUAACUGUGUGGAUUAAAUUCAAAGUGUUUACCUUCUCAAAGUAAUUUAAUGGAAAAUUUUAAUUUUGUUUUGUUCUCUUUUUUGUUGGAAAAGAAAAUUUUAUUCUAAAUGUUGACAUGAAUUCUUGUCAACUUUCAGUUUAUUCUUAUUUUUUUUCUCUUUCUCUUUCUCUCAUUCCCUCCUCAUCUUAAAUCAUCGAUUGAUUUUUAGUUGAUUUGAUUGUUUUCUAAUUGUUUGUGUUUGGAAGUUUUACUAUUUUCUGUUCCUUUUUAUUCUAUUCUUUUUUGUUUAUAUUUUCUAUUUUAUUCUAUUCUACUUUCAAUUCUAUUGGAUUAUUAUAUUGGAAAUCAUGAAGGUAGAAGUUAAUUUUAAGAUGAAACAUAUUCUUAAAAGAAAUGUUGAUUCUCUCCAUCAUCAUCAUCAUCGUAAUUCCCGGCGACGAAGACGAAGACAACAACAACAAGAACCCGCUAAUUUACAACGAAAUUUUGAUCAAUUACUUACCGUUAAAAGAGCUCUGUUUGUUGAUAGUAAUUUAAUUGAUCAUCACCGAGAAACUAGUGAAUUUUUAAAAGCCGAACUGGACAAAAUUGAAAAUGAACAUUGUGCAAGAUACAAUUUUGAUUUUAAAAAUGAACUACCUUUAGAAGAAAAAUCAUCAACAAUUGAGACUCAAGGAAAAGGUAACCAACCAACAACCAGUGUGAAGCCUAAAGUGUUAUAUGCUGCACGUAUUGAAUGAAUAUAUUUCUUUCUGUGUGUCUAUCUGAUUGUAAGGAGCCCUGUUGAUACCACUCACAUCAUCUUAUUCACCAUCAUCAAUAUAACAUCAUUACCAUUCUAUCAUCUCCACCACCACCCUUUUCCUAUCCUCUUGUUUCUCUCUCUGUCUCUUUCUCUCUCUCUCUCUCAUUUGCUUGAUAAUUUAAACCCUUGUGUUUAGUCAAUUAUAACCUAAGUCAAUUCAAAUCUCAUUCGUACAUUUUGUUUUUGUUUUAUAAAUAUCUACCUUUUGGUGUCUCCUUUUCAUCUUCUCAUAUACCAACACAAUUCUCCCCCUUUUCCUGAUUAUCUCUUUAACCACCAUCACCACCAUCAUCUUUGACAUAAACAACAUCUCUACAUUGUUGAUAAAUACUAAUAUAAGAAAAAAAUCCUAACAUUCUAUCGCCUUGUUGUUUUCUUCUCAAUUUUAUAUCGUAUUGUAUUCCCUGAAUUUCGGUGUUUUCUCUCUAUCUCUUAUAUUCGGUUUAUCUUGUCUAUUCCCUUGCCAUCAUUUCACAUCAACUUGUUUUUUUUUCUUUCUUUCUCUCUCUUUACACACACAACCAUCAAUAAGUAUACACAUCGCAUCCACCAUCUCGCCAUCAUCUUUGUCACACUAUAUCUCAACCUUUUCUCUUUCCUUUGUCUCUGUCAAUUAACAAAAAAAGUGUCUCUCAACAAUAUAACAAUUAGAAAUGGAUAAAGAUACACUUCAGAAACAAAUUGAAAACAUGAGGAUACAAGCACAUAUGGAAAGAUGGCCUCUCUCUAAAUCAAUUCAAGCAUUGCGAGAUUAUAUCGAAGAGAAUGAGCCAAUUGAUCCAUUGAUACAUGCACCGGAUAAGAAAAACAAUCCAUGGGCUGAGAAAGGAAAAUGCAAUGUAAUGUAACAAUCGGUUAAACAAUUAACUUUUACCUUCGACCAAUUUUCACAAACACCAACCACCACAACCACCAACAGCAACACCAACAAUUCUGUCUACAUCUAACUACUACUACAACUAUUACCACUAAUUACUACAACUAAUACUUAAUAUUAUUAUAAAAAUAUUAUGAUAAUUGAUUAAUAAUUGGAUUACAUUGAGGAUAAACUGCAUUUUUAACCAUCAACAACAAAAACAACAACAACAUCACAAAGCCAACACAACAACAGAAAAAACAACAAAACAGAAGAGAAUCACAGAAUUAGGUCCACAGAACAGAAUUAACAUCUCUGACCAUUUAGGAUGUACAAUUUAAUUGAAUUAACCGUUUUCUCACUAAUUGCAAUUCAUCAGAACCAUCAUUUCACACUAAAAUUGCGAAAAUGUUCAUCUUUUCAAUCUUCUUUCAAUAGACUGUUCUCUUCUCUUCAUACCUCUUAUCUCUCUCUCUCUCUCCCAAUUUCUUCUCAUCUUUUUCCUAUUCUAAAUUAUAAUAAUGAAAACAAUUAAGACUGCUUCUAAUAAAGAUUGAAUAACUGUUAAUAA